UACGUAGGGUCCGAGCGUUGUCCGGAAUUACUGGGCGUAAAGAGCUCGUAGGUGGUUUGUCGCGUUGUUCGUGAAAACUCACAGCUUAACUGUGGGCGUGCGGGCGAUACGGGCAGACUGGAGUACUGCAGGGGAGACUGGAAUUCCUGGUGUAGCGGUGGAAUGCGCAGAUAUCAGGAGGAACACCGGUGGCGAAGGCGGGUCUCUGGGCAGUAACUGACGCUGAGGAGCGAAAGCGAGGGGAGCGAACAGG
rnacentral:rRNA from 1 species